GGUUGAUCCUGCCAGCGGUCAUAUGCUUGUCUCAAAGAUUAAGCCAUGCAUGUCUAUGCACAAGCCGAUUAAUGGUGAAGCCGCGAAUGGCUCAUUACAACAGCCACUGUUUACUUGAUCUUGACUAUCCUACUUGGAUAACUGUGGUAAUUCUAGAGCUAAUACACGCAAUAAAGCUCCGACCUUACGGGACGAGCGCAUUUAUUAGACCAAAACCAAUCGGGCUUCGGCCUGAAACGUUGGUGACUCUGAAUAACUGAGCUGAUCGCAUGGUCUUUGUACCGGCGACGCA
rnacentral:rRNA from 1 species